rnacentral:rRNA from 1 species
UAGGGAAUCUUCGGCAAUGGACGAAAGUCUGACCGAGCAACGCCGCGUGAGUGAAGAAGGUUUUCGGAUCGUAAAACUCUGUUGUUAGAGAAGAACAAGGACGUUAGUAACUGAACGUCCCCUGACGGUAUCUAACCAGAAAGCCACGGCUAACUACGUGCCAGCAGCCGCGGUAAUACGUAGGUGGCAAGCGUUGUCCGGAUUUAUUGGGCGUAAAGCGAGCGCAGGCGGUUUCUUAAGUCUGAUGUGAAAGCCCCCGGCUCAACCGGGGAGGGUCAUUGGGAGCUGGGAGACUUGAGUGCAGAAGAGGAGAGUGGAAUUCCAUGUGUAGCGGUGAAAUGCGUAGAUAUAUGGAGGAACACCAGUGGCGAAGGCGGGUCUCUGGUCUGUAACUGACGCUGAGGCUCGAAAGCGUGGGGAGCAAACAGG